GGGUCCUUUCGCUUGUGAGGCGGGCAGCAGAAACACUGAGCUAAAUCCCUGGCCCCUGGCUAUGAUUGAUGUACAGAUGGUUGAGUUUUCUUCAUUUGUUUCAGAUGGGAGAGUCCAUCCAGUCCCUGUCACUCCAUCCUGGCCAGAAGCAGAAGUCCUGUCCCAUUAUUUGGAACCAUUUGCAGUUAUUUCAACUCUGGGGUCACGCAUGUCUCUGUGCUUUUACGACAAUUGGAAAUGCUCUUCCCUCUGACCUUAUCUAUGUGACAAGGCUUGAUUCCAGCAUCAUCUCCUCGAAGGCCUCCCCAGCCCCAGCCUCACCCCAGCGUUCUCCCCUGUGCUCACGGACAUUACAGUGCUGAGCUCUGUCCCCCUCCCUGAACUCUAAGCCCUGUGCUGAGUACACUGCUAAGUGUCCGGGGCUACGCUGCUCAAGAUGGGUCAGGUCAUUGUCUUUGGCAGUCACCUAGGAUUCCAGGAACAGGUCCAAUCAGAUCCACAAACAUCUUGUGAUGAAUGGAAACUGCCCUCCAGGCAACAGCAACUGAUUCGGACAAAGCCCCACCUGACCAGUCCUGAGAUAAUGAUCAACUAGACCAUCACGUGAUCGAGACUGAUUAACUAUUCAUAUUUCUAGUCCCCUUUUAUCUAUCUCUCUCUAUCUCUGUUUUAGAUCCCUUU